GGGAAUUUUCAAUAUGCACUAAAAUUCAGAAGGCCUGGGAACAUAGAGGCAGACAUACACUCACUGCACACUCUACUGUUGUGUCCAGAAAAUCCAGACCUGCCAUUGUAAUUGUCUUCACUAAGUGUCCAUUUCCUACUUCAUAUUCUGGUUCUCCAAUGCAAGUGAAAGACUGCUUAACAUAUGAUUGUUGCCCUGUUUGCCAGCUCCGGUGUGAACAUUGUCAGAAAAUGGGGUGCUAAACCAGGCCUGAAUCCUAGUCCAGGCCUGGGAGAUUAUUGCCUACACCUCUCCUCAGAGGCUUCCCCUGUCUCUGUGCCGACAAUGUAUUCCUCUCCUCCUCAUUCUAUACUGUCCUGUACUCAAUAUAUUAACUACAAGAGAAGUCUGCGCUGAGAUAUGUUUUGCCUCCCUUCCAGAAGCUUCUACAGU